AGCGAACGCUGGCGGCAGGCCUAACACAUGCAAGUCGAACGGAUCCUUCGGGAUUAGUGGCGGACGGGUGAGUAACACGUGGGAACGUGCCUUUUGGUUCGGAACAACUCAGGGAAACUUGAGCUAAUACCGGAUAAGCCCUUCGGGGAAGGAUUUAUCGCCAUUAGAGCGGCCCGCGUCUGAUUAGCUAGUUGGUGAGGUAAAGGCUCACCAAGGCUACGAUCAGUAGCUGGUCUGAGAAGAUGAUCAGCCACAUUGGGACUGAGACACGGCCCAAACUCCUACGGGAGGCAGCAGUGGGGAAUCUUGCGCAAUGGGCGAAAGCCUGACGCAGCCAUGCCGCGUGAAUGAUGAAGGUCUUAGGAU
rnacentral:rRNA from 1 species